UCUACCCGCUAGGCGCAGAAGUGGACACACUUCCUGUGCUCGGCUCGCUCGGGUUGUUGAUGAUAAACAGCGAGCACAUGCUGAACGCAAUCUUUCACAUUUUGCCACAGAACCGAAUGACAACUACUUUGAUUUAAAUGUUAAUUCAGUAGCUUGACGUUCUGCAAUUUGCCUUGUCUCUGUAAUUACACGCUGAACAAUAAAAUACUUCACUUUUUGCUCAGGGCACUGAUGGAUUUUAUAAAAGAGUUUACCACAGUCAUGACAUUAAUGAUUUUGUCUGUCUCAUCACUACAUGCUGCUUAUCAGCUAUUCAAGGAUCACAGAGCUUCAUCAUUGGGCUUCCUCCUGAUUGGCUGCUCAUCUGUCCUUUCAUUCUUUUCUCCCAGUAACCAAAUUAUCAUGUCACUCCAGAACGAUCUAGAAUGGGCAGGUGAAUCACUCGGACCUGUGCUUUCUACUUUUGACUUCCUGUGGCUUAGUGACGACCACAUGACAGCCCGUAUCCUACUGAUUGGCUCCACUUUUUUCAUAAUGCUCUCUGAUUGGCUAACGCCAGAUGGGUUGAUCAUUAUGUCACGCUGCUUGGCCUUUUCCACCCUUUCCUGUUCGCUGACAGUGUGCGCGUUUGCUGAAAAUGCAGCAGGGGCGGUAGGGAGUGUUGCCCUCAAUCUCCCUUUAUUAGUUUCCCCAAGGAGCAGAUCUAGAUCUUUGGGUUCCCUCGUGAUGCCUACAGAAGGACUCCUCAGCUGGAUCUUUAAGGUCAUCAUGGCAUUAGGUUGCUGGACCACCAGGAAGGCCCUUAUUAAAUACCUGCUUGAUUUGAAAGGCUGGGACUGACUUAGGGAACAAGUAAUGUUUAAGUUUACUCUCAGGUUACUAGCAGGUAUAUGUACAGUGUUUUACUGUUGCACGUAAAAGCCUUCUGUCUUAAAAGCUAACAUUAUAGUGUAUUAUAUUACAGAAACUUGAGUUUGUUUACAUCUAUUCGUAUAAUAGAGUUUGUUUAUAACCUAUUAAAUCCAUUACAGUGAGAUUGAAGGCUUCUAAAAUCCCUGAGCGAUGAAUAAAUUGUUUAGCAUCAUCAACAAUGUAGUCCUUUAUAAAGAAAGAAUGGGACUCUGUUUAAGUCAGUGUUGCCAUGUCCACUUAUUAUGAGAAACUUUGG